rnacentral:rRNA from 1 species
CGAGCACGCGCGUGUGGCAUAUCAAUAAGCGGAGGAAAAGAAACUAACAAGGAUUCCCUUAGUAACGGCGAGUGAAGCGGGAAGAGCUCAAAUUUGAAAUCUUCAAGGUUCUACCUUGACGAAUUGUAGUUUAUAGAAGUGUUUUCUGUUAGUAGAGUGGCAAAAGUUCUUUGGAAUAGGACAUCAUAGAGGGUGAGAAUCCCGUAUUUGGUCAUUCCUUCUAGCGUUGUGAUACACUUUCAACGAGUCGGAUUGUUUGGGAAUGCAGUCCAAAAUGGGUGGUAAAUUUCAUCUAAAGCUAAAUAUUGGCGAGAGACCGAUAGCGAACAAGUACCGUGAGGGAAAGAUGAAAAGAACUUUGAAAAGAGAGUUGAACAGUACGUGAAAUUGUCAAAAGGGAAGCGUUUGACACCAGUGUUGUUUAGCCGAAAAUCAAUUAACUAAUGUUUGAUUUUGAAGUAGUAUGACUUCAUCAGCUUGCUUCUUUCUUUACGAAACUUUCUUAAUGCACUUUUCGGUUAACAAGUCAACAUCAAUUUCUUUUGUUGUAAAAGGGUAUGAGGAAGGUGGCUUUCUUUUCGGAGAAAGUGUUUAUAGCCUUGUACCUCUGCAAUCGGAGAGAUUGAGGUCUGCAGCGUAGAUCCUUCGGGGUUAGAUACAUUUGUGCUAAGUUAUAGCUUUUCAUAGACAACUUGUUGACUAUGUUUAGUCUUGUAGCUUACUCGCUUAUGCUAUUUUACCUACGCUUAGGAUGUUGAUGUGAUACUGCGAGCA